rnacentral:rRNA from 1 species
UACGAGGGGUGCUAGCGUUGUUCGGAAUCACUGGGCGUAAAGCGCACGUAGGCGGUCCGCACCAGUCAGGCGUGAAAGCCCCGGGCUCAACCCGGGAACUGCGCUUGAUACUAGCGGGCUAGAGUCCGGGAGAGGAUAGUGGAAUUCCCAGUGUAGAGGUGAAAUUCGUAGAUAUUGGGAAGAACACCAGUGGCGAAGGCGGCUAUCUGGACCGGUACUGACGCUGAGGUGCGAAAGCGUGGGGAGCAAACAGG